CAUUUUGUAGCUUUUGCAAAGUUUGGUGUCCCAGCUGUAACAGAAGGUGUGAAAGUUGUCGACAGUUCAGGGACUGAGUUGGAUGAAGAUGUUUUUGAGGAUGUGGUAAUGAAUCCCUCAACUGGGGUGUUGACCAUCAAAUAUGACUCAGAAUCUGUCUCAAAAGUAGCCUCUCCUGAGGCGUCCCAACCAUCAUCCCUCAAUUCUUGGGACUCUGGGGAUACAGACAUCAUUCCUGAUAGUCCCUCCAGAAAACGCCGGAGGCUGGAUGCGGAAGCUAAGCAUUUGGUGGAAUCAGUUCUUACCAACAAACCGGGUGGGGAACGUAUAAUAAAUGAAUACAGCCGAACCAAGUCCUUGACAGAUGAAACCAGACGGAAAAUGGUUUACAUG